rnacentral:rRNA from 1 species
AUGCAACUGGCCAUUAUCGGUCCGGUUGUGACGCCUCCGGCCGCAACGGCGCCAGUCCCGUCCAUCGCGCCUUCCCUUGGCGUACGUCUGGAUCGCGGCAACUUCCCGCUAUGGCGCACCCUCAUUGUGACGCAUCUCUCCGGUGCCUCUCUCCAUGGCUACCUCGACGGCUCCGUCGCUGCUCCGCCCACAACCAUCUCGCAGGGGGCAGGUGAUACCGCCACCACUGUGGCAAACCCUGCGUAUGCAACGUGGUGGACGCAGGACCAGAAGGUCCUCGGGAUGCUCCUCUCCUCCAUGACGGAGGACAUUGCGUCUCAACUGAUCAGCUGCAAGUCCGCUGCUGCCGCGUGGACCUCCAUCCACGCCAUGUUCAGCGCGCAAAACCGUGCCGGGGUUCGGCACAUCCGGCGACAGAUUCAGUCGCUGAAGAAGAACGACAUGACUGCCAGCGAGUACAUGCACAAGGUGAAGGCUCUUGCCGACGCCAUGGCCUCCGCUGGAUCCCCCCUCGCUGAUGACGAGAUCAUCGACUACAUGCUUACCGGAUUGGGCAAGGCCUUCAACCCGAUCGCGGCUUCGCUCAGCGUCGUGGUCACUCCGGUCGCGCUGACUGACUUCUACUCCAUGGUUCUCAACUAUGAGGCGCUGCAGCUGUCGCAGCAGGUCGACGAUGAGGAGUGGACCUCGUCGGCCAACGCCGUUGCACGGUCCGGUGCUCCCGCCCCCGUCAACCGUCCUCGAGCACCCGACACUGGUCGUGCCACCGACGUCCGCCCCGCUGGAGGCUACCCGCCGCAACAGGGGCAGGGCUACCAGCACGGCGGUCAAGACAACCGUCGUAACAACGGCGGUGGAGGAGGAGGCAACGGUCGCAAUGGCAAUCGUCGCUGGCGCCCGAGGUGUCAGAUUUGCAAGAAUUGGGGUCACGAAGCCGACACCUAACCGGCUACGAGUGCUCAUGUGCGUAAUUAUGACUUAACCUACUUGGCUACUAAUCCAUCUGGCCUAGCCAGCGUUUCUUCUGUGCAGGCUCCGCGACCGGCCACGCUCGACGUACACGUGGCCAUGCAGAACGACGUGCAUGGCGGCCAAGUUUCCCAGGCAGGGGUCCCGCUCGCACGUGCGGCUGGCUCUGCCCGCGAGUCGGCCUCGCCCGCCCACGAGUCGGCCUCGCUCGCCCGUGACUUGGCCUCGCCCGCCCGCGCCUCGGCCUCGCCAGCGCCUGGAGUGUCGCCUGGCUUCCCCCUCGUCGCCAAGUUCGGCACCAUCGCCAUCCUCGCCUAUGUUUCCGGCCGUCGAGCCCACUCACCCAAUGGUGACUCGUACCCGUGA